GGCAUAGAGAGCUCAGGCCUGCAGCAGAGGGAGUGCAGAUGUGGGGGAAGCUGACCCUGGAGUUAACAGGCUCAGACCUUAAAGGGGGUAGUCUCACAGCAGGUUCACACCCAGCACUUCAGAGUUUCAGCAAGUAAGGCAACUGCAAGACCCUCAUUCUGCCGGGAAGCUUCUGAUUAGGGCCCUAAACCACCAUCCUUUUCACAUCUGCAAGGACACUAGAGGCAACACCCAGGGUCACUCUGAGAGGGCCUGAACCUGCUUUAUUAACAGGAUCGAGGGUCAGGACCGAAGUAAGUCGUGAUGCAGGAAAUGAGUGCGUUUCACAGCUUGCUGAGCCCCUACUCGACCCAGGAAGCCCAGCUGGCCCCUCCUCUCAACAGGAGUGAGAAUCAGACUCAUGGAGGCAACCACUCAAGGUCACUCUGAGAAGGGUUGAACGUGCUUUAUUAAAAGGACUGAGGAUCAUGUGUGUUGGUGUGUCCCGGAGUCUGCUCUAAGGCCCUGUGGCUGCCUGGUGCCCUGGGAAUGGUCCGGUCAUGGGCCUCAGCCCAGGAUGAGCAGCCAACAAUGCAAUCCCACGAAGAGUGUGCGGAAGGGAGAGGUUACUUCUCAAGAUGGAGCUGCCAAAUAGGGACACUUUGGAGAGUCUGGCCUGAGAACUUUUAGUUUCAAGAAUGUAUUGCUUUGGAAAAGACAGAAUAAAAGUCCAAGCACUGCCACUUA
rnacentral:lncRNA from 1 species